rnacentral:tRNA from 1 species
GUAGCAAAACCUGGUAUUGCAAAAGACCUAAACCCUUUUAAUAGAAGUUCAAAUCUUCUCACUAACU